GCGUUGUCCGGAAUCAUUGGGCGUAAAGCGCGUGUAGGCGGUUACAUAAGUCUGUUGUGAAAGUCGGAGGCUCAACCUUCGAAAGCCGAUGGAUACUGUGUGACUUGAGUACGGAAGAGGAGAGUGGAAUUCCUGGUGUAGCGGUGAAAUGCGCAGACAUCAGGAGGAACACCAACGGCGAAGGCAGCUCUCUGGGACGUUACUGACGCUGAGACGCGAAAGCGUG
rnacentral:rRNA from 1 species